AGCGCGGGAACGGCGUGAGGGGCCGCGCCGGCGGAGGGGUGCGGAGGCGCCGAGAGGCAUCGCAGUGUCCUCCUCAGCAGCUGUGAGCGGAAAAAUUUCAUAAUUUCAGCAGCUAGCGGUGACCUCAGCGUUUGCUCAGGGACCGCGACACGGCCCCGAGCAGAGAAGAGCACAGAGGCCCGGAAAAGCCGCAGCCGUGUGUGGCAGCCCCUCGGUGUCCUCCGCGGGCCUGGCGGCCGGCAGGGAUGGGCCGGGGCUGUUCAGUGUGCCUGGCAGUGUGUCAGACCCCCAGCAGCACAGGCAGACUUCACACCCGUUUCCAGUUUGUCACUGAAUGGUUGCAUGAACCUGAAGCAGCAAACAGCCACAUAGAUACAAGUCACAGCCCAGAGCCUAAUUUCCUGGGAAUUAAAUGGGCCAAACCGAGUCAGGCAUUCACCAAGUUUAAAAUUACCCCCUGAAGACUGAGAAUGGAAGAACAGAGAACACAUGGAAGUGCUACUUAGAUAAAUGGAAACAAACCGUCUGACCAGAGCAGUGUUUUUGUAAUUUGCUAGAAAUACAUCACUACUUUAAUGUUGGUAAACAGAUGGAUGAAACAGACUAGGACUGACUAAGAGAGGCAGAACUGACAUUAGAGCACAGGGAAAGGCGUGAUGCUCUCAGGAAUGAUCAGAAAUGGCAAAUUGGAAAGAAAGCUCUAAGGACACCAGUUUUGUAACAAUAGAAAGACUAUUUGCUCCCUGCAUGUCCAUGGAUGCACACCCCCAGUUUGGAUGCCACUGCCUGGGAGCAUGCGUGGCUUUUGUCUUGUGUCACUCCUGUCCUGAGUCUUGUCAUAUACUUUGGGAGCUGGCAAGGACUCACUCACAGGACAUCGUCCUCCUGUUAAGGAGAUACGUCAGCUCUGACGCAGAAAUGUGGCUGGAGCUUGUGGGGCAGUUCAAGACCCUCUGUCGCUUAAACCUUUCAAGAGAUUACUGGCAGGAGAGUUAAAUUGUUCUGCCAGCUAGACCUGAAGAGAGCCCACUGCCAAGCAGCUGGGCUGCACUCCUUGGCUGUGCAGGGGCUCCUCUGGGGACAUGAGUGGCAGUGUGACACCCUGGCACCACGAUGCCAUUUGCAUCAUCAGGUUACUUGCAGG